GACGAACCGAGCAAACGUUAUUCGGAAUCACUGGGCUUAAAGGGCGCAUAGGCGGUCUCGUAAGUCUGCGGUGAAAUCCUCCAGCUCAACUGGAGAACGGCCGUGGAUACUGCGAGUCUCGAGGGAGGUAGGGGCGUGCGGAACAGAUGGUGGAGCGGUGAAAUGCGUUGAUAUCAUCUGGAACUCCGGUGGCGAAGGCGGCACGCUGGACCUCUUCUGACGCUGAGGCGCGAAAGCCAGGGGAGCAAACGGG
rnacentral:rRNA from 1 species